UUUGUGCCAGUGAGUUUGGCCGGAAGAGGGAGUAUUGAGCUCUCUACUGAUCCUACUAUCCUAGCACUGUCUGCGAUUCUUUGAUCUCUUCUCUGGCUGACGGCGAGGAGCACAAAUUCACCCUAGCAGCGAUUUUGGAGGUAGAAGAUGAGUAAGAUUCCAGCCACCACGAUACUGUUCGCUAGAGUUUUCCUUCGCCCGAUCGCUCAUCACCUCCGACUAGUGGGGAGAAAGAGGAGUUUGAUACGAUAUGAGCAUCUCGACGUCGGAUUUGGACUGGAUUGGACCUUCCUAUUGGAGCCGGGUACCUCUUGACUUAUCUUUUAUGAUAUUGUCAUUG